AUGAACGCUGGCGGAGUGCCUAACACAUGCAAGUCGAGCGGCAGCGCGAGUAGUUUACUACUUGGCGGCGAGCGGCGGACGGCUGAGUAACGCGUGAGAACACACCCCAAAGUGAGGAAUAACUGCCCGAAAGGGUAGCUAAUGCCGCAUAUGAUCUUCGGAUUAAAGGAUUUAUCCGCUUUGGGAGUGGCUUGCGUACGAUUAGGUAGUUGGUGAGGUAAAGGCUCACCAAGCCCACGAUCGUUAACUGGUUUGAGAGGAUGACCAGUCAGACUGGAACUGAGACACGGUCCAGACUCCUACGGGAGGCAGCAGUGAGGAAUCUUCCACAAUGGACGAAAGUCUGAUGGAGCAACUCCGCGUGCAGGAUGAAGGCCUUCGGGUUGUAAACUGCUUUUAUGAGUGAAGAAUAUGACGGUAACUCAUGAAUAAGGGUCGGCUAACUACGU
rnacentral:rRNA from 1 species